GCCUCCAACCUUUAAGGUUGGAGGCAAGGAAAGAUUGGUGGCAACCAAGAAAUGCUGCAAUAGGCCCAGAAAGGCAGUGAAGAAGAAGACUGCAAACUAGUCCACAUGGAUGUAAAAGACCACGUGUUUUGGAGGCUGCAGUCCAUCAGGACUAAAACCUCAGGCCACAAGAACAUUUUCUUCCCAUCUGUAGCUGGCCUCAUCAACAAGGUCCGGGACCCUCGCUGACACUCAUG